UGUCCUUUCUACCUCUGACUUGUUCCUCUCUUCUUCCUCUCUGACAGCCGGGUCCCGCAGCCACAGGUGAUUCAUUCGGUACCAAGCCACGCACCCCCUCCGCUCCUCCUCGCCGCAGGUGAUUCAUUCGGUCAAUGCUGCGGCCGCACCGGGGAAGGGCGGCGAGUACCAGCCCACCUUCGCGGACGACCUCCUCCUCACCUUCUGGAGCAAGAUGGUGGAGGUGAGCUCCAUUUCCUUCCUUCCUUCAGUAAAACCUUACACGAUGCUUUGUUUUGAUGUAUUAACUUCUUUUCGCUCAAUAAAAGAGUGAAUGAAUUGACAUUAUUGACUUCGUUGGUUAGUUCUACCAGGAUAGAUAGAGGAAUCUUCUGAACAUUUCUCAACUAGAGCUCUGCUCUGCUUUGAAAUAGCUUGACUAAUUCCUGAGAAUUGACGCCACGUACGUGGAUAAACUUGAAUCGGCAGCUUUUAGUUUAUAGAAGUACGUACUUUUGUAAUAGCAAGGAACCAGCUCGAAACAUUGUCGACAAUGGGGAUUUUUUUUUAAUUUCAUUGUAAUCUAAACUCGAUGCUCAAUUUGUUGAAUUCAAGGGAAAAAAGCCCAGUAUGUUAACA